rnacentral:tRNA from 1 species
UAUAGUAUAGUUUAAUAUUAAAACGUAAGUUUGUGGUGCUUGAGAUAUUUUUAUAUGUUAUUAUAU